rnacentral:rRNA from 1 species
UUUUGCCUACGGGAGGCAGCAGUGGGGAAUAUUGGGCAAUGGGCGCAAGCCUGACCCAGCAACGCCGCGUGAAGGAAGAAGGCUUUCGGGUUGUAAACUUCUUUUAAGAGGGAAGAGAAGAAGACGGUACCUCUUGAAUAAGCCACGGCUAACUACGUGCCAGCAGCCGCGGUAAUACGUAGGUGGCAAGCGUUGUCCGGAUUUACUGGGUGUAAAGGGCGUGCAGCCGGGAAGACAAGUCAGAUGUGAAAUCCCGCGGCUCGACCGCGGAACUGCAUUUGAAACUGCUUUUCUUGAGUACCGGG